rnacentral:rRNA from 1 species
AACGCUAGCUACAGGCUUAACACAUGCAAGUCGAGGGGCAGCAUAUUUAUAGCAAUAUAAAUGAUGGCGACCGGCGCACGGGUGAGUAACACGUAUCCAACCUGCCGUUUACUCGGGGAUAGCCUUUCGAAAGAAAGAUUAAUACCCGAUGGCAUAGUUCUUCCGCAUGGUGGAACUAUUAAAGAAUUUCGGUCAUCGAUGGGGAUGCGUUCCAUUAGGUUGUUGGCGGGGUAACGGCCCACCAAGCCUUCGAUGGAUAGGGGUUCUGAGAGGAAGGUCCCCCACAUUGGAACUGAGACACGGUCCAAACUCCUACGGGAGGCAGCAGUGAGGAAUAUUGGUCAAUGGACGAGAGUCUGAACCAGCCAAGUAGCGUGAAGGAUGACUGCCCUAUGGGUUGUAAACUUCUUUUAUACGGGAAUAAAGUGAGGCACGUGUGCCUUUUUGUAUGUACCGUAUGAAUAAGGAUCGGCUAACUCCGUGCCAGCAGCCGCGGUAAUACGGAGGAUCCGAGCGUUAUCCGGAUUUAUUGGGUUUAAAGGGAGCGUAGGCGGACGCUUAAGUCAGUUGUGAAAGUUUGCGGCUCAACCGUAAAAUUGCAGUUGAUACUGGGUGUCUUGAGUACAGUAGAGGCAGGCGGAAUUCGUGGUGUAGCGGUGAAAUGCUUAGAUAUCACGAAGAACUCCGAUUG